rnacentral:rRNA from 1 species
CAAUAGCGUAUAUUAAAGUUGUUGCAGUUAAAAAGCUCGUAGUUGGAUUUGUGGCGUACGGUGUGUUCCGGGCACUUGUUGUCUGAGUAACCUGCUGUUGCCAUCCUUGGGUGGAACCUGUGUGGCAUUAGGUUGUCGUGCAGGGGAUGCCCAUCAUUUACUGUGAAAAAAUUAGAGUGUUCAAAGCAGGCUUAUGCCGUUGAAUAUAUUAGCAUGGAAUAAUGAGAUAGGACUUUUUUGCUAUUUUGUUGGUUUGCGCAAAGAGGUAAUGAUUAAUAGGGACAGUUGGGGGUAUUCGUAUUCCAUAGUCAGAGGUGAAAUUCUUGGAUUUUGGAAGACGAACUACUGCGAAAGCAUUUACCAAGGAUGUUUUCAUUAA